AGCAGCCGCGGUAAUUCCAGCUCCAAUAGCGUAUAUUAAAGUUGUUGCAGUUAAAAAGCUCGUAGUUGAAUUUCGGGAUCAAAUUGUCGGUCGUGCCUCGGUACGUACUGGUAUUAUUGGUUCCUACCUUCUGAAGAACCGCGAUGUCAUUAAUUUGGUGUCGUGGGGAAUCAGGACUGUUACUUUGAAAAAAUUAGAGUGUUUAAAGCAAGCGCACGCUUGAAUACAUUAGCAUGGAAUAAUGAAAUAGGACGUUUGAUUCUAUUUUGUUGGUUUCUAGGAUCGACGUAAUGAUUAAUAGGGAUAGUUGGGGGCAUUAGUAUUCAAUUGUCAGAGGUGAAAUUCUUGGAUUUAUUGAAGACUAACUACUGCGAAAGCAUUUGCCAAGGAUGUUUUCAUUAAUCAAGAACGAAAGUUAGGGAUCGAAGACGAUCAGAUACCGUCGUAGUC
rnacentral:rRNA from 1 species